rnacentral:rRNA from 1 species
UACGUAGGGGGCAAGCGUUGUCCGGAAUCAUUGGGCGUAAAGAGCGUGUAGGCGGCCAGAUAAGUCCGCUGUGAAAUCUCGAGGCUCAACUUCGAGCUGUCGGUGGAAACUGUCUGGCUAGAGUCCGGAAGAGGAGAGUGGAAUUCCCGGUGUAGCGGUGAAAUGCGCAGAUAUCGGGAAGAACACCUAUGGCGAAGGCAGCUCUCUGGGACGGUACUGACGCUGAGACGCGAAAGCGUGGGGAGCAAACAGG